rnacentral:ribozyme from 12 species
UCACCUCUGGGAAGUUCCGCGCGAAGAGCUCGAAGAACUCGUGCUGCUCUGGACGGAGAUUGGGGAGAUGGAAUUGCGACGGCACAGAAGACGAACGGUUGCUUGAGGGAUUAGAGGAGGAAGAAGAAGAGGAAGCGGAAGUGGAAGCG